CAAUUUAAUUUUGGAAAAAAGGAAUUUGCUAAGUGCUUUAUUUCGAACUUAGUUUAUUACGCACUUUAUUUUAAUCUAGUUGUGGAAAUGAUAACGUGCAUGUUGUCUGAUUCGCAAGUGGGUACGCUUGAAUUGUGUUUGCUUCAACCUAAUUCUUGGUAUAUGAAAUGAAUGGUAUAUGGCAGUACUCCUACAAACAAAAGUUGUUAAUUAAUUACUUCAAUUUUUUAAACCAUUUCUCUUUUGAACUUACCACUGCCCUAUAACUUUCUCCUGAUGUCACGAAUGGGACAAUAAGUUAUGUGGCGAGGAUCUACGUUGAUUUUGUACACUUUAUUAGCGAGUUAUUGAACGUCACAUGCCUUAUUUUAAUAAAUGAACACCAAUCACAAACAGCUCUUCGAGGUUUGCUGUCAUUUAAGUUCGUCCCCAUUUAAAAAUUUAAAAAGUAAUUAGGUGAAUAAACUCCGUUUGGUAUCGUUUGAUGUCGCUAAAAUCGCAUUGUGUUGUUAUCAUGUCGAAAGUUCGUGCUGCUUUCUUUUUCUGUUUUGCCCUUUGUUUUUGGAAUAAAUUCAACACCAUAUUAAAUAUUGUGAGCUUUCAACAAUGUCAGGUUUUCUCACCAUACUACAAAUAAUGACUGAACUGUUUUCCAUCUAUCUGAUCAAUCCUUCUGAUCCUUCUACUGUGAAAAUCAUCUUUACUUAUCAGAUGUUUGAAUGAGAUACAGAAACAGGUGCCUUCAGCAGUGUGGAGUUAAAUUGCUGUUACACUGUGCUGUUUUUCUUGAUCACUUGAAGCAACUUGACACUAAAAGAGAAAUAUGCCGAUGUCUACACAAAUAGCAUCCACAUAUUCUUCUUUAUUAAUCCGCAGCCCUAAUGGGAUAUGUGAGCAGGAGAGCACCUCCCUGGAGUUACCCUAGCCCUGUAAUGGAUCAAGGACUGACGCCGAUUAUCACCUUCAGAUCUGCAGAUUGAAGCUGUUUGUGGCGCGUUGCUUGAUUCUUGGUGACGACGGGAUGAUCGUAAUUUGAUGCAAACUGUCAGUUAUUCCAACAAGUUGACUUAGAGCGCUCAGUCGAUUUCCAUCCAUUAGGCCCAUCAUGCUGUCAAAAGCCUAAAACUCGUGUUUGAAGUACACAUAUAUUGGAAUACAAAUGUGCCGAGAUAAGGAUCUUUUCUGAAUCUCGUUUUUUUUUGUGGCGUACCCUGCAACAGUAUGUUUAUUGUUAUGGCUGAUUUUACUUCUGUUUAGAAGGCAACUCUAGAAACUCAAAGCGAAAGCGGCAAACUAAGAGUUAGAGUUUCACAGACAUGAAGAGUGUGAAGUGACCUGCCAUGUAUGUACCAGUUACCAGAUCUCCUUUAUGAAAGUCAAAUGCCUUAUUAAAUUAAUCACCCAUAUGAUUAAGCAUCAGGAAAUUUAUCUCAACAUGUGAAGUAAUGCUGUCGGUUGCUGUGAAUUCCAUUUUACGGUUUUUUCAUCAUAAACAUUUCAGUGUGCUUCUUAGAAAAGAGCACGUAGUUUCUUUAUAAUAUCGUGUGGUCCUGGCACGGAGAUUCUUGAGCCAACGCUGACCUUUGUCCAUGACGGAGGAGGGACUUCCACUAACGUUCUUCUCCAUCCUUAUCUUCACGACGCACGCUCAUCUUCUGCUUCUAAACACAAUUUGUUUUACUUCACUGCGACUUGGCGAGUUUCUGGACCACUUCAGUGAUCGCUUCCGCCCGCUGUUACACACCUGCAGUCACUCACUACGUAAUUAUGCCCAGAAUGCGCCAACAAAAUACUUCUGGCAAUGGAAAUGGACAAUCGCGACCGACUCCGAGACUCGUCAUCAACGUGGAUCAUCGUAUUGUUGGUAUUAUUUCGUUUGUGUUAGUGUUAGUUAACCCGUUGGCUGCC